rnacentral:rRNA from 1 species
GACGAACGCUGGCGGCGUGCCUAAUACAUGCAAGUAGGACGCAGUUGCGAACGGGUGAGUAACGCGUAGGUAACUACCUAUUAGAGGGGGAUAACUAUUGGAAACGAUAGCUAAUACCGCAUACUAGUAGAUGGACCUGCGUUGUAUUAGCUAGUAGGUAGGGUAAUGGCCUACCUAGGCAACGAUACAUAGCCGACCUGGGAGGGUUGUCGGGCACACGUGGAAUGGGGCACGGCCCAGACUCCUACCGGAGGGAGCAGUAGGGGAACUUCGGCAAUGGGGGGAACCCUGACCGAGCAACGCCGCGUGAGUUAAGAAGGUUUUCGGAUCGUAAAGCUCUGUUGUUAAGGAAGCGGUACUUGACCAGAAAGGGACGGCUAACUACGUGCCAGCAGCCGCGGUAAUUC